rnacentral:rRNA from 1 species
GACGAACGCUGGCGGCGUGCCUAAUACAUGCAAGUAGAACGCUGAAGGAGGAGCUUGCUUCUCUGGAUGAGUUGCGAACGGGUGAGUAACGCGUAGGUAACCUGCCUGGUAGCGGGGGAUAACUAUUGGAAACGAUAGCUAAUACCGCAUAAUAGCAGUUGUUGCAUGACAACUGUUUGAAAGGUGCAAUUGCACCACUACCAGAUGGACCUGCGUUGUAUUAGCUAGUUGGUGGGGUAACGGCUCACCAAGGCGACGAUAUAUAGCCGACCUGAGAGGGUGAUCGGCCACACUGGGACUGAGACACGGCCCAGACUCCUACGGGAGGCAGCAGUAGGGAAUCUUCGGCAAUAGACGGAAGUCUGACCGAGCAACGCCGCGUGAGUGAAGAAGGUUUUCGGAUCGUAAAGCUCUGUUGUAAGAGAAGAACGAGUGUGAGAGUGGAAAGUUCACACUGUGACGGUAUCUUACCAGAAAGGGACGGCUAACUACGUG